GGAAAACCAAGCAAAAGUCACUGUCAGGGGACCUCCCACCCACCAUACAGGGGAACACUCGGCAGAGCCAGAGGCCUGGGCCCAAGUCCUGCCACCAGCUGGCUGUGAAACUGUGGUACAGCACCUUGUGUCCUGCCACCAGCCGGCUGUGAAACUGGUACAGCACCUUGUCCUCAGGUCCUUGGUUUCCUCACUUGUAAAUUCAUGGUUCUCCAUGGCAUCUCUGGUCUUCAACAUUAUUUUGCAUAGAGUCUCAGAAGCUUUAGUGUGAGCGGAUGAUAUGGGCACGAAGCAAGGCACCCAGAAGUGGGGGCAACUACUCUGCUUUCUAAAAUGCAAGGGAACCGGAAAAUCCAGGAGCCGUGCCAAAUGAGAAGAGGAACAAAUGGAGGAACAUCCCAGUCAAGUGACAUUCCUAGUGACAUUCACCAGAACAGAGUCAAGCUUUGGAUCCCAUGUUCUGUGACUUCCUCUUCACCACGCUUCCUCCACACACGUAGCAGCUCAAGGGUUUCUGAUGAGUGGGAGGCUUGACUAGAAUUGAAUUCGAGACAAGCACAAAGAUCAUGAUGCAAAUGAAAGGGACAGAGGGGAGAGAAACAGAAAACAAGUCUAUGUUCCCUUUAUGAGCUGUAACGCACACCAUGAAGGUCUGCGGCUUGGCUAUUGAGUCAGUGAGAGCGUGAACCUACUAUUAGAAGAAAAACUCUGAAUACGUCUGAACGUCAGAAAGAACGAAGUUUGGACACAUUGUCUUUAAGAACUGUAACACUCACCCCAAGGGUUUAUGGAUUCAUUCUUGAAAUCAGUGAAACCAAAAGCUUUCCAAAGUUUAACACACAGGGAAAUGACUUACUGCAAAGAACCACUCUUCCCCACGAGACUUCGAGAAGACCCGCUGUCACGGACUGAGUUGUGUCCUCUUAAAAUUCAGAUGUUGGAGUCCAAACCCCCAGUAACUCAGAGUGUGAACGUAUUUGAAGAGGUCUUUAAAGAGGUGAUGAAGGGAGAGAGACCCCAUGAGCUCGUCAAGCUCCUUCUGUGACUGAUCAGAGAUCCCACCGUGAGUCCAGCUCCUGGUCCCAUGCUCUGGAUAUAUCGGUCCCUGGCAGCGUGGCUCCAUCUCCGUAGCCUGCUUUUGACAAAAGUGGAUACAUAAAUCUAGGGGCCACCUAGCUAGUUCUAAUAAGACUUUGGAAGUCAAAAGCUAAAGAAGACCAGGGGACCAAGCUGGAAAUCAGGCUCUGCAAUCAGAUUCCAGAGGGAAUGCCAUUCCACCCAAUCACCUAGCCACAACGGUUCCCUUCCUUCAAGAUGCUGCAUGCCUCUUCAGGCGAAUGGAUUACCUUCAACUCCUUAGCCAAAGACGUGGCAACUGCGGGUGAAGUAUCUCUGGGCAGGAAAUCAAUGCAGAAAUGCAACUGGGGAGAGGGGGCUUGGGGGCCAGUUCCAGGGAGAUUGGAACUGCUGUGUUCUCAUCAGCAGAAGUGGCCCCUGCCCACCCCCAUCCUAAUCCCUUCUCAUGUGGGAGAAGGUCUGUGAGCCCUCUCCCUACCAGGCAGGUUCUAUGGCAAUGUGGGCACAUACCCUGGGGCAGGGGCCGAGGGACUUAACUCACUUCAUGAGCGCCAAUGGAGGAGCGAAGGGAAUGCCUGAUGAAAACAACAUUCUACCAGUAUGCACUGUUUUCUAACCUACAGAGUGCCUCUGUGUUCACUGUCCCAUUUGAGAAUUCUAAGUAGAAUUCUGAACAGGCUGGAGCAGAUUGCCCACCCCAAGGGACAGAUGUUGGCUGGUACUGUUGGUAUUCAUGGAAGAUUCCUUCUGACACUCCCUCCUUCUUUGUAAUUGCCAUGAACUGGAGCACUGGGCCAAUAUAAAUCAUCCAAGGGUGAACACGCUGCACAUGGACGGCUCCUCUUUGUUUUUGAAGGGAUUCCAUCUCUAUUUUGCCAUGUGCUCCUUCACCCCACUCCCCACCCCCGUCUUUCAUUUCUUUCUCUGGAAAAGAUACUUCAACUCACAGGACUGCGAUGUUGAAACGGACACCCAAGAGCAUCACAGAUGGGCCAGGCCUGGACCUCUCGGGACAACAUUCCUCACGACUUUUAGAUAGAAGAGAUUAGAGAUUUGGGACUGGUGGCAACUGGUAACGUUUUCAGUGUUUGGUAAACAGCCAGGGUCCGGAGCUCUGGGAACAGCCUGAUUUAGCUCUUUGUUUAAGUUUUGUGUUAGAGGCUCCCAAGAAGCUGAUGCAGGGGAAAGAAAUUAACAACCAUGGCUCAUUCACAGCCAGGCAGCCAAAUGGACAGCUCUAUAAGACUCAAGCCGACAGCGGAGAGAGUGCAACCAAACAGCCUUGGCCCAGCUUUCAGAGGAGAACGUUAUUCACCCCAACUGCUCUGCAUCUGCCUGGAUGUCUGCCAAGAUCUGUGAGCAUUACAGCGUUGGUAUGCUUUGGGUGAGGCCUGUGGCUAUGGCAACAAGUUGGGAGCAACCCGGUCCCUGGGAAUGAGAACAGUGUCUAAAAUCAGGCAGGCGAGGGGCAGGGAGGAGAGGUAAAGGUUGGACUUGCCUGAAGAUGGAGCCGUUUUAUUGUUGUGGGUAAAGCUGCUACCAUUAGGGGCUGUUUACAGAGUGGGUGCAGCUCAAGCUGGGAGCAUGUUAGACUCAGCGACUACGAUCAACCUAUUGACUUGUUCCCAUGAGACAGAGUAAAUUAACUGUUGCAGUACUGGUCAUGUACCACCAACCUCCUGUGAACCAGCCCUCAGUGAAACAUUUAUGUGAAAGGCCAUGGUGUUCCCAUAAGAGGGUGCAUGUUCUCUCCCUUGACUAACUCUUCAGUAUGCCUCAUUCUCACGCGCUGGUGUGCAGGAAGGAGUCCAACAUGCCCCAUUGACAGUCAUGCCCUGUAUGUGGAAAGUCUUCAGGUAGAGCACUGGGCUCAGGUUUGAAGAUGUGAGUUCUAAUCCUAGCAAGGCCAUUACCUCCCAGUGACCUCAUGUCUCGAUUUCCUCAACCACAAAACAAAGGCAUUGGUGAGCUGACCUCUAAGGCCUCUCCAGUUCUCACCUUCUGUGUCUCUACAGACUGGAGACUAGAAGAUUAUGGGCACUUUUAUUGAGUCUUCAUUUUGUUUCCAUUUCUUUGUAGUCAUCAGCUGGAGUUGAGGACAAGUUUUAACAAUAGAUAGGUUUCUUUUUGUCUCUUUUUAAAAAAUUUUAUUUAAAAUAAAUGCCAAGUGUAGUGGCUCAUACCUGUAAUCCCAGCACUUUGGGGAGGCCAAGGUGGGAGGAUUGCUUUUGAGUUUGAGACCAGCCUGGGCAACGUGGUGAGACCCUGUUUGUACAAAAAAUUUUAAAUUAGCCAGGCAUGGUGGCGUGUGCCUAUAGUCCUAGCUACUCUGGAGGUAGAGGCAGGAGGAUCCCUUGAACCUGGGAGGUUGAGGCCACAGUGAGCUGUGAUUGUGCUAUUGAACUCUAGCCUGGGCAACAGAGCAAGACCCUGUCUCUUAAAAAAGACUAUUUUUUAAGAACACUUUUAGGUUCACAGCGAAAUUUGGAGGAAACUUGGCAUAUGUCAUAUGCCCCCUGCUCCCAUGCAUGCACAGCCUCUACCAUUAGCAAUGUCCCCACUCAAAUGGUACCUUUGUUGUAAUCAACAACCCUGUACUGACACAUCAUCAUCACCCAAACUCCAUAGUUCACAUUAGGUUUCACUCUUGGUGUGGUGUACAUUCCAUGGGCUUGAACAACUGUAUAAUGACAUUAUCCACCACUGCAGGAUCAUACAGAGUAGUCUCACUGCCCUAAAACUACUCUGUGCUCCACCUGUUUGUCCCUUCUUUCACUCUAAACUCCUGGCAACAACUGACCUUUUUACUGCCUCGAUAGCUUUGCCUUCUUCGGAAUGUCAUGUAGUUGAAAUCAUACAUCAUGAAGCCUUUUCAGAUUGGCUUCAUAUAGGUUUCCUUCCUUCCUUCCUCCCACCACCUUCCUUUCUUUCUGUAUUCCUAACUCUUGGAUGUAUUUUCCCCAGCAUCAUGACUUGAUGGGACUUUUGCUAAGAUAGGCAAUCAUAGAAAGUCAUAAAUCUCUUGUCAGCCUUAUUGGCUCACCUCCGAGAUGGUUCCAACACUCUUUAAGGCCCACUUUUCCAAUCCACAGAUUCCCCAGCAGAAGUCCAAGCUGCUGAGCCUCACAUCAUCUUUUGCACUAGUAAUCUUUACCACUACUUCACUGUAGCAUUUGAAAAUUUUCAUAUGAAGCCAUAGUUCUGUGUCUUUUUUUUUUUUUUUUUUUUUUUGGAGACGGAGUCUUAACCUGUUGCCCAGGCUGGAGUGCAGUGGCACAGUCUUAGCUCACUGCAAGCUCCGCCUCACGGGUUCAAGUGAUUCUUGCCUCAGCCUCCCAAGUAGCUGGGAUUACAGGCGCGCCACCAUGCCCAGCUAAAUUUGUUGGCAUUUUUAGUAGAGAUGGGGUUUCACCAUGUUGGCCAGGCUGGUCUCAAACUCCUUACCUCAGGUGAUCUGCCUGCCUCAGCCUCCCAAAGUGCUGGGAUUAAAGGUGUGAGCCACCGCACCUGGCCUGAAGCCAUAGUUCUUAACCUCAGUUGUGCAAUAGAAUUAUCUGGGGAAUUUAAAAAUUAGAAAAAACCCAUGCCCUGAAGAUUGUGAUCUAACUGGUCUUGCGUAGCGCCUGGGCAUUGGUAUUUUUUAAAUGUUUCCCAACUGAUACUAAUGUGGCCAUUCUGCAAGCCACAGUUGAAAGGCUUAUUCAAGCAUCCUGUUGCUGAAUGCAUGUCGUCCUUACCACAUGACUCUGGAGGUUUUCUUGUAUUCUGAUGUGGCUGCCCUGUUGAGGCCUGCCCCUUAGAGUGGAGAUUAUCCCCUGCAGUAGGCUGCCUGGAAUAUGAUCCCCAGUGAUCCCUGCUUCCUGGUAUUCAGGCCCUGGUGUGAUCCCUUUCCCUUGAAGCCUGGGCUGGAUUAGUGACUUGCUUCUAACCAACAGCAUAUGGCAAAAAUAAAUGUUUAUUGUUUUAAACCUCUGUUUUAGGGUCAUUUAUUACACAGCAAAGAUAACGAAUAUACUUUCUGAAAGAAGGGGAGGCUCUUUAGACAGGAACAUGUUCCUGUGGGAGCCACACCUUAUGUUGAUUUUGAAGAAUGGAGGGUCUAAUAAUGUGUCCCCAGGGGAAGUGAUAGGGGGGCCCAGACUGCUUGGGGCUGGAAAGGCAGGUGACAAAUAAGCAGAC
rnacentral:lncRNA from 1 species